rnacentral:lncRNA from 1 species
AAAGUGGAAGAUGCGAAGAUUGCAAUUCUCACAUGUCCAUUUGAACCACCCAAACCAAAAACAAAGCAUAAGCUGGAUGUGACCUCUGUCGAAGAUUAUAAAGCCCUUCAGAAAUACGAAAAGGAGAAAUUUGAAGAGAUGAUUCAACAAAUUAAAGAGACUGGUGCUAACCUAGCAAUUUGUCAGUGGGGCUUUGAUGAUGAAGCAAAUCACUUACUUCUUCAGAACAACUUGCCUGCGGUUCGCUGGGUAGGAGGACCUGAAAUUGAGGUAGGAUGUUCCACGUGAAGAGACUUUGAGAAGUAGGGGUUCAUCUUAUGUGUUGAGGGGUGUUUUGAUAGCCCUGCCUUAAAUAACUGCAUCACACCAAGGCUGGCAGAUGAGGGGAGGGUGAGCUGGGAGAGAGGAAAGCGCUGGAAUCUUUGUUACUGUUUGGAUAACAGUGCUGUGUGUUUCUGGUGUUCCCUGGCAUUUUGAAAUUCUCUCCCUGUGUUGUCUCACUUGGCCCUGUCGUUGACUUACUAAGGCUGGAAGACCUGGUCUCAU